AGAACGAACGCUGGCGGCACGCCUAACACAUGCAAGUCGAGCGCCCAGCAAUGGGAGCGGCGGACGGGUGAGGAACACGUGGGAACAUGCCUUUCGGUUCGGCACAACUGCGGGAAACUGCAGCUAAUUCCGGAUACGCCCUUACGGGGAAAGAUUUAUCGCCGAAAGAUUGGCCCGCGUCUGAUUAGCUAGUUGGUGAGGUAAUGGCUCACCAAGGCUUCGAUCAGUAGCUGGUUUGAGAGAACGACCAGCCACACUGGGACUGAGACACGGCCCAGACUCCUACGGGAGGCAGCAGUGGGGAAUCUUGGACAAUGGAGGAAACUCUGAUCCAGCGAUGCCGCGUGAGUGAUGAAGGCCUUCGGGUUGUAAAACUCUUUUACCAGGGAAGAUAAUGACUGUACCUGGAGAAUAAGCCCCGGCUAACUUCGUAGCCAGCAGCCGC
rnacentral:rRNA from 1 species